rnacentral:rRNA from 1 species
UACAGAGGUCUCAAGCGUUGUUCGGAUUCAUUGGGCGUAAAGGGUGCGUAGGCGGCGCCGUAAGUCUGGUGUGAAAUCCCGGAGCUCAACUCCGGAAUUGCACUGGAUACUGCGGUGCUCGAGGACUGGAGAGGAGACUGGAAUUCACGGUGUAGCAGUGAAAUGCGUAGAUAUCGUGAGGAAGACCGGUGGCGAAGGCGGGUCUCUGGACAGUUCCUGACGCUGAGGCACGAAGGCCAGGGGAGCAAAC